ensembl:lncRNA
ACAGGAGUAGACCAUGAACUUGAUGUAACAAAAGUAAUUUGUAAGACUGAGAAAAGAAGUAAUAAAACUCCUUCAGUGAUUCUGUAGGACCUAUUGCAUGGAGGUAUAAGUUCUGAUUAGCUGAGGAUGAUUUUUGUUUGUUUUCUUGUUGAGGAUUCAAUAAUAUUUCAAGUUGGAUUCAGCUGAAGGACCCUUCAGAUUCUGUCAUGUAACUGACUACUAAGAGACUUUAACUCUUUCUCUCCCACUCUACCCCACAUCAUCUGCAGUUGAGCAUUCUUUAGGUCACCCAACUAAGUGGUUCUGGAAGCUAUAAUGAAGUCAUCCAUUACAUAUUCAAUAAAUUCGUCUGCCAUCAGAAGAAAGAGAUAGCAGGUGUGUGAGGAUAUUCCGAUCUCAUCAAUUGGACUCUCUGCUUGAAUUUCAGUGGCUGUAAGUAGGCAAAAGAAAGCCAUCCAUAACACAUCUAAACACAGGAUGUCAUGGUUUUGUAACUUCGCUAUUGGUAUUCCACAUCAUAACAUCAUGGACAAAAGAGAAGAACUACGUAUCCCAGAGGACCUCACGGUCAGAGAAGGAAGACACAUCACGGAAGAUACGUCAUCUGGUUGCGCGCGGUGCUUCUUCACUUUCGCUUGCUGCCGGGAGAGGAGUGGGUGUGCUUUCCAAGCCGGGCGCCUUCAUCAAGUAAGGCUUUCGGUUUCGGAAACUCUCUCACUCUCUCUCUCUCUCCCUCUCUAUCGCUCUUUCGCUCUCUCUCCCUCAUUCCAUUUGGUUUAUUAUACUUACUCCCGAUUAGAUUGUAUUGUAUCGUGUCAUCUUGCAUCUCAACAUCAUAGUUAGUAAAAUAAGUUCUCCUUC